AUUGAACGCUGGCGGCAGGCCUAACACAUGCAAGUCGAGCGGAUGAAGGGAGCUUGCUCCUGGAUUCAGCGGCGGACGGGUGAGUAAUGCAUAGGAAUCUGCCUGGUAGUGGGGGAUAACGUCCGGAAACGGGCGCUAAUACCGCAUACGUCCUGAGGGAGAAAGUGGGGGAUCUUCGGACCUCACGCUAUCAGAUGAGCCUAGGUCGGAUUAGCUAGUUGGUGGGGUAAAGGCCUACCAAGGCGACGAUCCGUAACUGGUCUGAGAGGAUGAUCAGUCACACUGGAACUGAGACACGGUCCAGACUCCUACGGGAGGCAGCAGUGGGGAAUAUUGGACAGUGGGCGAAAGCCUGAUCCAGCCAUGCCGCGUGUGUGAAGAAGGUCUUCGGAUUGUAAAGCACUUUAAGUUGGGAGAAAGGGCAGUAAGUUAAUACCUUGCUGUUUUGACGUUACCAACAGAAUAAGCACCGGCUAACUUCGUG
rnacentral:rRNA from 1 species